AGGUGGCGACACCGCGCGGAACCCGAAAGCCGUUCUCAGUUCGGAUCGGAGUCUGCAACCCGACUCCGUGAAGCUGGAUUCGCUAGUAAUCGCGCAUCAGCCAUGGCGCGGUGAAUACGUUCCCGGGCCUUGUACACACCGCCCGUCAAGCCAUGGGAGCCGGGGGUGCUUGAAGUGCGUCGCCGCAAGGCGCGCCCUAGAGCAAAACCGGUGACUGGGGCUAAGUCGUAACAAGGUAUC
rnacentral:rRNA from 1 species